CCUACGGGUGGCAGCAGUGAGGAAUAUUGGUCAAUGGCCGUAAGGCUGAACCAGCCAAGUCGCGUGAAGGAAGAAGGAUCCAUGGUUUGUAAACUUCUUUUAUAGGGGAAUAAAGGUAUCCACGCGUGGAUAUUUGCAUGUACCCCAUGAAUAAGCAUCGGCUAACUCGGUGCAAGCAGCCGCGGUAAUACGGAGGAUCCGAGCGUUAUCCGGAUUUAUUGGGUUUAAAGGGAGCGUAGAUGGGUUGUUAAGUCAGUUGUGAAAGUUUGCGGCUCAACCGUAAAAUUGCAGUUGAUACUGGCAGUCUAGAGUGCGGUUGAGGUAGGCGGAAUGCGUGGUGUAGCGGUGAAAUGCUUAGAUAUCACGAAGAACCCCGAUUGCGAAGGCAGCUUACUAAGCUGUAACUGACAUUGAUGCACGAAAGUGUGGGUAUCAAACAGGAUUAGAUACCCGUGUAGUC
rnacentral:rRNA from 1 species